UGCCAGCCGCCGCGGUAAGACGGAGGGUGCAAGCGUUAUCCGAAUUCACUGGGCGUAAAGCGCACGUGGGCGGACUAUUAAGUCAGGGGUGAAAUCCCGGGGCUCAACCCCGGAACUGCCUUUGAUACUGGUAGUCUAGAGUUCGAGAGAGGUGAGUGGAAUUCCGAGUGUAGAGGUGAAAUUCGUAGAUAUUCGGAGGAACACCAGUGGCGAAGGCGGCUCACUGGCUCGAUACUGACGCUGAGGUGCGAAAGCGUGGGGAGCAAACAGGAUUAGAUA
rnacentral:rRNA from 1 species